GACGAACCGUGCAAACGUUGUUCGGAAUCACUGGGCUUAAAGGGCGCGUAGGCGGAUGAUCAAGUCAGGGGUGAAAUCUUUCGGCUUAACCGGAAAACAGCCUUUGAUACUGGUCGUCUCGAGGGAGGUAGGGGCAUGUGGAACUUCCGGUGGAGCGGUGAAAUGCGUUGAUAUCGGAAGGAACGCCGGUGGCGAAAGCGACGUGCUGGACCUCUUCUGACGCUGAUGCGCGAAAGCUAGGGGAGCGAACGG
rnacentral:rRNA from 1 species